rnacentral:rRNA from 1 species
AUGAAUGUCUUAAGUUGGAACUGCCGGGGAGGGGGGAAUACCCGGACAGUUCGAGAGCUAGUGACUAUCUGUCAGUCGCAUUCCCCCAAUUUGGUGUUUUUGUGUGAAACAAGACAGAAGGCUGAGAAAAUAAAGAAGGUGCGUGGGAGGAUUGGGUUGAAGGGUUUUGCUGGGGUUGACAGUAAUGGUAUGAGUGGUGGUCUUGCUCUUUUU